rnacentral:rRNA from 1 species
GACGUAGGAGGCGAGCGUUGUCCGGAUUCAUUGGGCGUAAAGAGCGCGCAGGCGGCUUGGUAAGUCGGAUGUGAAAUCCCGAGGCUCAACAUCGGGUCUGCAUCCGAUACUGCCCGGCUAGAGGUAGGUAGGGGAGAUCGGAAUUCCUGGUGUAGCGGUGAAAUGCGCAGAUAUCAGGAGGAACACCGGUGGCGAAGGCGGAUCUCUGGGCCUUACCUGACGCUCAGGCGCGAAAGCUAGGGGAGCGAACUGG